rnacentral:rRNA from 1 species
UAGGGAAUCUUCGGCAAUGGGGGGAACCCUGACCGAGCAACGCCGCGUGAGUGAAGAAGGUUUUCGGAUCGUAAAGCUCUGUUGUUAAGGAAGAACGAGUGUGAGAAUGGAAAGUUCAUGCUGUGACGGUACUUAACCAGAAAGGGACGGCUAACUCCGUGCCAGCAGCCGCGGUAAUACGGAGGAUACGAGCGUUAUCCGGAUUGAUUGGGUUUAAAGGGUGCGUAGGUGGCUGAUUAAGUCAGUGGUGAAAAGCUAUGGCUCAACCAUAGUCUUGCCGUUGGUACUGGUUAGCUUGAGUGUAGAUGAUGUAGGCAGAAUGCGUAGUGUAGCGGUGAAAUGCAUAGAUAUUACGCAGAACUCCGAUUGCGAAGGCAGCUUACAAGACUACUACUGACACUGAGGCACGAAAGCGUGGGUAUCAAACAGG